rnacentral:rRNA from 1 species
CAGUAGCCGCGGGAAUACGAAGGGGGCUAGCGUUGUUCGGAAUUACUGGGCGUAAAGCGCACGUAGGCGGAUAUUUAAGUCAGGGGUGAAAUCCCGCAGCUCAACUGCGGAACUGCCUUUGAUACUGGGUAUCUUGAGUAUGGAAGAGGUUAGUGGAAUUGCGAGUGUAGAGGUGAAAUUCGUAGAUAUUCGGAGGAACACCAGUGGCGAAGGCGGCUCACUGGUCCGGUACUGACGCUGAGGUGCGAAAGCGUGGGGAGCAAACAGGAUUAGAUACCCCUGUAGUCCCUGUCUCUUAUAA